AAAGUCGUAACAAGGUUUCCGUAGGUGAACCUGCGGAAGGAUCAUUAUGAAUUUGAUCAAGUGGCUUUUUUUUAAGCCGCUUUCAUUUUCUGUGAACUGACGCUCCUUUUUCUCUCUCUUUUUUGAGAAAGACGAAGAGUGUAUUUGUAUUCUUGAUUUCUAUUCCAAAUCUAUUUGAUUGAUCCUUCGCAAGGAGGAAUCAAUUGAAUUUUUUUAAAACCAAGACAACUUUCAGCAAUGGAUCUCUUGGCUCUU
rnacentral:misc_RNA from 1 species